UUGACAGAGUGGUCAUUGAGAACAAUGCCAACCCCAGCAUUGAAGAUGGAAGAAUGAGUGCCACUGUUAAAGUUGAAGGAAACAACUUGGUCCUCAGUAGAGCCCGGAAUGCCCUUGAGAGACCCUCUAAUGCCUACUUCACCACCUUGAUGUCAUCGUAUUUG
rnacentral:lncRNA from 1 species